UACGUAGGGGGCAAGCGUUGUCCGGAAUUAUUGGGCGUAAAGAGCGCGUAGGCGGUCCGAUAAGUCGGCUGUGAAAGUCAAGGGCUCAACCCUUGAAAGCCGGCCCGAUACUGUCGGACUAGAGUCCGGAAGAGGCGAGUGGAAUUCCGGUGUAGCGGUGAAAUGCGCAGAUAUCGGGAGGAACACCAAUGGCGAAGGCAGCUCGCUGGGACGGUACUGACGCUGAGGCGCGAAAGCG
rnacentral:rRNA from 1 species